AACGCACCUUGCGCUCCUUGGUAUUCCUUGGAGCAUGCCUGUUUGAGUAUCAUGAAAUCUUCAAAGUAAAUCUUUUGUUAACUCAAUUGGUUCUACUUUGGUAUUGGAGGUCUUUGCAGCUUCACACCUGCUCCUCUUCGUUCAUUAGCUGGAUCUCAGUGUUAUGCUUGGUUCCACUCAGCGUGAUAAGUUAUCUAUCGCUGAGGACACUGUAACAGGUGGCCAAGGGAAAUGCAGAUGAACCGCUUCUAAUAGUCCAUUGACUUGGACACUAUUUUUAUGAUCUGAUCUCAAAUCAGGUAGGACUACCCGCUGAACUUAA
rnacentral:misc_RNA from 1 species